rfam:Oryza glaberrima chromosome 5 Oglab05_0124_25, whole genome shotgun sequence.
UUUCAAUGGAACAUGAGUUUUCGUCUCUAACUUCGAUUGUCCAUCUUAUUUCAAACUUUUUUGUUAUUUGUAUUUUUAUUGUUAUUAGUUGACAAAACAUAAAUAAUACUUUAUGCGUGACUUAUUUUUUAAAAAAUAUAAAUAAGAUGCACGAUUAAAAUUGGACACGAAAACUAAUGGUUGUGUUUAAA